GAGUUUGAUCAUGGCUCAGAUUGAACGCUGGCGGCAUGCCUUACACAUGCAAGUCGAACGGCAGCACGGGAGCUUGCUCCUGGUGGCGAGUGGCGAACGGGUGAGUAAUGCAUCGGAACGUAUCCUGGAGUGGGGGAUAACGUAGCGAAAGUUACGCUAAUACCGCAUAUUCUGUGAGCAGGAAAGCGGGGGACCUUCGGGCCUCGCGCUCUUGGAGCGGCCGAUGUCGGAUUAGCUAGUUGGUGAGGUAAAGGCUCACCAAGGCGACGAUCCGUAGCAGGUCUGAGAGGAUGAUCUGCCACACUGGAACUGAGACACGGUCCAGACUCCGUACGGGAGGCAGCAGUGGGGAAUUUUGGACAAUGGGGGCAACCCUGAUCCAGCCAUGCCGCGUGAGUGAAGAAGGCCUCGGUU
rnacentral:rRNA from 1 species